GAUGAACGCUGGCGGCGUGCCUAAUACAUGCAAGUCGAGCGAACAGACGAGGAGCUUGCUCCUCUGACGUUAGCGGCGGACGGGUGAGUAACACGUGGAUAAUCUACCUAUAAGACUGGGAUAACUUCGGGAAACCGGAGCUAAUACCGGAUAAUAUAUUGAACCGCAUGGUUCAAUAGUGAAAGUCGGUUUUGCUGUCACGUAUAGAUGGAUCGGCGCCGCAUUAGCUAGUUGGUAAGGUAACGGCUUAUCAAGGCAACGAUGCGUAGCCGACCUGAGAGGGUGAUCGGCCACACUGGAACUGAGACACGGACCAGACUCCUACGGGAGGCAGCAGUAGGGAAUCUUCCGCAAUGGGCGAAAGCCUGACGGAGCAACGCCGCGUGAGUGAUGAAGGUCUUCGGAUCGUAAAACUCUGUUAUUAGGGAAGAACAAAUGUGUAAGUAACUAUGCACGUCUUGACGGUACCUAAUCAGAAAGCCACGGCUAACUACGUG
rnacentral:rRNA from 1 species